rnacentral:rRNA from 1 species
AGGCCUACGGGGGGCAGCAGUGGGGAAUAUUGGGCAAUGGGCGCAAGCCUGACCCAGCAACGCCGCGUGAAGGAAGAAGGCUUUCGGGUUGUAAACUUCUUUUCUCAGGGACGAAGAAAGUGACGGUACCUGAGGAAUAAGCCACGGCUAACUACGUGCCAGCAGCCGCGGUAAUACGUAGGUGGCAAGCGUUAUCCGGAUUUACUGGGUGUAAAGGGCGUGUAGGCGGGGAAGCCAGUCAGAUGUGAAAACCACGGGCCCAACCUGUGGCCUGCAUUUGAAACUGGUUUUUU